rnacentral:pre_miRNA from 1 species
UAGGGUGACCAAUUUGUCCUGGUUUGCUCAGGACUUUACCUGGUUUUUAUACUGAAAGGUCCACGUGCCAAGAACUCCCACUCCCACUCCUCAAGUCCUGGGCAAACUGGGACAAUUGGUCACCCUAUUUCUUU